CACGGUGCGGUGGAGGGAGGGCUGCUCGGCGCCCUGCGGAGCGGGGCGCCCGCGCUUGUAAUGGGUACGCUGUCAUUAGCGUUGUUUUUAACUUGGCGUGGGUUAGAAGAAAAUUCACUCGCCCCCCUCUUCUGCCGUGAGUCCGAAGUGGAGCACUAAGAAAACUGUGCUUCUCAAUUUUGCUAGCUACAACCGCAGCGACGGGCAGGGUUUGUACGCGUUUCGUGCUUACCCGUUUGCGCUUUCGCUCCCCCGGGUACUCGCAAAAGCUGGCAGCUGCCUGCCUCGCGUCCUCUUCUCUCUGACCCCCAACGAGCUGGGGACAGCAGCAGCCAGACGCAACGGCUGCUUAUGAAGAAAAUGCAAGAAGUCUUGCAGAAAACAACAGCAACUAUAAAUUCACUCAUACUUCUGAAGAACAUGCAUAUUAAAUGAUUACGCAGAAAUGAACAAGUCUGCCUCUGGAGGAUGGUUUGGCUAUCAUGUAAUAAAUAAGAACUGAAGACACACCUUGAACAAAAGGGGAAAUAAAAUACCAACCUCAUCAAGAAAUAAUGCACAUUCUAUGCAUCAAAUGCAAUAGAGGUCUAGUGGAAAAGUAGUACCUAAUCUCAUAGUUGAACUCAAACAAAGAGUCUUAAUCUAGCUUUUCUUGAUAUAUUUAAGUGCUGGACCUUGCAACCUUAAUAAUACUCUUUCAGUUUAGGAUUUGUGGGGCCCUUUUGUCUGUGUGUUUAUAUACAUGGCUAUUCUUCCUGUCUUGAAUCUGACUCAGUCAUUUGCCCCAGUGAUAAAAAUGAUCACUGAGAUCCUUUGAUUCAUUAGGCUUAUACAUAAAAAGACAUGUCUUUACCAGUAUUAGAAUGUUUGCCUCUCGAUUCCUUUGAAUGUUUUUUUUCUCCUAUAUUGGCAAUGAGUAAAUAAGACCACCUGUCUUUGCUGUAUUUUA